rnacentral:rRNA from 1 species
GACGAACGCUGGCGGCGUGCUUAACACAUGCAAGUCGAACGGAAAGGCCCUGCUUUUGUGGGGUGCUCGAGUGGCGAACGGGUGAGUAACACGUGAGUAACCUGCCCUUGACUUUGGGAUAACUUCAGGAAACUGGGGCUAAUACCGGAUAGGAGCUCCUGCUGCAUGGUGGGGGUUGGAAAGUUUCGGCGGUUGGGGAUGGACUCGCGGCUUAUCAGCUUGUUGGUGGGGUAGUGGCUUACCAAGGCUUUGACGGGUAGCCGGCCUGAGAGGGUGACCGGCCACAUUGGGACUGAGAUACGGCCCAGACUCCUACGGGAGGCAGCAGUGGGGAAUAUUGCACAAUGGGCGGAAGCCUGAUGCAGCAACGCCGCGUGCGGGAUGACGGCCUUCGGGUUGUAAACCGCCUUCGUCUGUGACGAAGCGUGAGUGACGGUAAUGGGUAAAGAAGCACCGGCUAACUACGUG